AAGACAGAGGGUGCAAACGUUGUUCGGAAUUACUGGGCGUAAAGCGAGUGUAGGCGGUCUGAAAAGUCAGGUGUGAAAGCCCCGGGCUCAACCCGGGAAGUGCACUUGAAACUGCCAGGCUAGAGUAUCGGAGAGGUUGGUGGAAUUCUCGGUGUAGAGGUGAAAUUCGUAGAUAUCGAGAGGAACACCGGUGGCGAAGGCGGCCAACUGGACGAAUACUGACGCUGAGACUCGAAAGCGUGGGGAGCAAACAG
rnacentral:rRNA from 1 species